UCCCAGGCAGCUUCUGCUAGUGUUUAGGUACUAGUGCAGUGUAGAACCCUUUUCUCAGGCAAAACCUAACAUCUGACCGCACCCUUUUUGCUAUUAAAAAAAAAAAAAAGCUUCUAUUUUUUUCCUCCUGUCGUUAAGAUAAAUUCUCCAGUAGACAACCUCUCCCACUAAUUGUGUAUUAGCAACGUAUUUUAUCUUGAGAGCUUGUACACUGGGCUCUCAACGUGGUGUGGAAGGUAGCCUGUUACAGUGCUGGAUUCAUAAAAGGGCCUUUAUGGUUUGUGAAAGAAUAUCUGUGUGCUUAGGGAGGAAACUUUUUGAUCUGCAGAAAAGCCAGAAGACAUCUAGGACAUCCAUAAAAAUUCAUCAGAGAGCAUUUUACUACUGAGCUGCAAAGGUGUCUGAUGAUUUGUGAGCCUCAAGUGACUACUCUGUGGAAUCAUCUGUCCUUGCCUUUGAAUUAGCUUUCCCUAGGCCAUGAGUCAACAUUAGUAGUUUAUACAUCCAAAUUGAUGACAAGAGCACCUCAAAGGCAGCAGCCUCAAGGAGCAGCCAUGGCCCCAGACUUGUCGCACGGAUGCAGAAAACUUAAUGGAGGAGGCUGAGGUCAGAAUGGGAAGAGUUUUUAAAAAAUAAAAAGGGGAGCUAAUAUGUGAGGAACUGAUUGCUGUGCAUUAUUUUCCACUGAACAGACCUUCUUUUAACUUCUAAUCUCAAGCACAUAGCAGCUGUUGUUUUCAUAUUAAAGAUCAGUAAGUGUUUGUUGAAUGAAUGUAUAAAUUCUUCCCCAAUCUCUGUUCCAUGUAAUAAGAACUAAGUUAGCAUUCAAUUAUAAAGAGGACUUAGAAAGUCUGCAGACAUUUUUGAUCAAAAA
ensembl:lncRNA MIR99AHG mir-99a-let-7c cluster host gene